UACGUAGGGUGCGAGCGUUGUUCGGAAUUACUGGGCGUAAAGAGUGUGUAGGCGGUGCUCUAAGUUCGGUGUGAAAUCUCCUGGCUUAACUGGGAGGGUGCGCCGGAAACUGGAGUGCUCGAGCGUGGGAGAGGAAAGCGGAAUUCCUGGUGUAGCGGUGAAAUGCGUAGAUAUCAGGAGGAACACCUGUGGUGUAGACGGCUUUCUGGACCAUAGCUGACGCUGAGACACGAAAGCGUGGGUAGCAAACAGG
rnacentral:rRNA from 1 species